rnacentral:rRNA from 1 species
CAGUCGCCGCGGGAAUACAGAGGGUGCGAGCGUUAAUCGGAUUUACUGGGCGUAAAGCGUGCGUAGGCGGCUUCUUAAGUCGGAUGUGAAAUCCCUGAGCUUAACUUAGGAAUUGCAUUCGAUACUGGGAAGCUAGAGUAUGGGAGAGGAUGGUAGAAUUCCAGGUGUAGCGGUGAAAUGCGUAGAGAUCUGGAGGAAUACCGAUGGCGAAGGCAGCCAUCUGGCCUAAUACUGACGCUGAGGUACGAAAGCAUGGGGAGCUAACAGGAUUAGAUACCCCCGUAGUCCCUGUCUCUUAUAC